rnacentral:lncRNA from 1 species
ACAUACUUGUAUUUUUAAUGAAUAAAUGAACAUAUUCAGCAAAAUGUGCCCUCUCUUUCUCUCUCAAUUUCAUUUCAGAUAGCCAGAAUAUAUAUUUCUCUUGCUUAUCCCAGCCAGGAUCGAAAUAUGCAAAUAUGCUGCUUUUCUCCAGGAUAACUCACUGUGAGUCAAUUGCAGGAUGGGCACAAUACAAUGGAGCCCAAAUUUCUCAGGCAAAGAAAUGUAAUAUGGACAUCUAAGAGCUUUCAGAAUAUAAUUUCAAAGGCAGGACUGAUUCUCUGAAAAGCCAUCCAAUGUGCUGUCUGACAGCUGUUCCUGCCCAGAAAAUGAACAGGAUACCUACAACACAGUGACUACCAUGUCAUCAGGGCCAUGAAAUGUACAGAGUUGACCAGGGAGCAACAAAAACGUAACUCAAAACAGAAAGCCAUGCAGCCUAGGGCAGUGGUCGCUGGAGGAUGUAUGUAUACAUAUUAUUCUUGCAAUUAGAAAAAAUUUCAAGUCAUCAAGGACAGAAAAGAAAAACUGGGGAAAACAAAGAAUUGAAAUCAACAUAUAAGAGACAAGGCUACAGUUGCUACAUUUAUGAUCUUAGAAGGAAAAAAAAGUCUUUAAGGGAAAAAAGUGGAUCAGAGUUCAGAAAUCCCUCCAGGGCAUGAGCAAAAUGAAGUGAAAGACUCCUAUGUAGGAUGAUAAUACCAUGCCUGAAGCUAGAAAAAUUCUAGACUUGAUAUAACAGAAUUACCAUGCAGUUGAAAAAAAAAUUCCCAGGGUCAGAUCAUACAGAUGGGUGCCCCACACCACUCCAGGAAUUCAAAACGAAGAGGACAUUCUACAGGAGGCCGGACAGGGAAAUGGCUCUGCUGCAAAACAUCACAAUAGGAACUGGAAAAGCUAAACUGGACCUGCAUUCAAGACCGAAGACCCUCAUCCACAAAAACCUAGCUUUGUUCCCUCAGGCUGCACUGGGCGGUAAAUUGGGGGACCACUUCAACAACAACAGCAGACAGGCAAAAUCUCACAUGCUUUCUGAGGAAAUAGAUGUAA